rnacentral:tRNA from 1 species
UGCAUCGGCCGGGAAUCGAACCAGGGCCACCCGCGUGGCAGGCGAGCAUUCUACCACUGAACCACCGAUGC